GUGCCAGCCGCCGCGGUAAUACCGGCAGCCUGAGUGAUGGCCGAUCUUAUUGGGCCUAAAGCGUCCGUAGCUGGCUACGCAAGUCCGUCGGGAAAUCCACUCGCCCAACGAGUGGGCGUCCGACGGAAACUGCAUAGCUUGGGACCGGAAGGCUCGAAGGGUACGUUCGGGGUAGGAGUGAAAUCCUAUAAUCCCGCACGGACCACCGAUGGCGAAAGCACUUCGAGAAAACGGAUCCGACAGUGAGGGACGAAAGCUAAGAUCGCGAACCGGAUUAGAUACCCGAGUAGUCC
rnacentral:rRNA from 1 species